CUUGACAUCCAGAGAAUUUAGCAGAGAUGCUUUAGUGCCUUCGGGAACUCUGAGACAGGUGCUGCAUGGCUGUCGUCAGCUCGUGUUGUGAAAUGUUGGGUUAAGUCCGCAACGAGCGCAACCCUUAUCCUUUGUUGCCAGCACGUAAUGGUGGGAACUCAAAGGAGACUGCCGGUGAUAAACCGGAGGAAGGUGGGGAUGACGUCAAGUCAUCAUGGCCCUUACGAGUAGGGCUACACACGUGCUACAAUGGCGCAUACAAAGAGAAGCGACCUCGCGAGAGCAAGCGGACCUCAUAAAGUGCGUCGUAGUCCGGAUUGGAGUCUGCAACUCGACUCCAUGAAGUCGGAAUCGCUAGUAAUCGUAAAUCAGAAUGUUACGGUGAAUACGUUCCCGGGCCUUGUACACACCGCCCGUCACACCAUGGGAGUGGGUUGCAAAAGAAGUAAAUAGCUUAACCUUCGGGAGGGCGUUUACCACUUUGUGAUUCAUGACUGGGGUGAAGUCGUAACAAGGUAAGCGUAGUGCU
rnacentral:rRNA from 1 species